CACUGAAAGGUUGCUAAGGAGACGGAACUGUGCUGACAAAAGGCUUUCCUUGAAUCAGUUUUGCUACUCUUCUUUGAUGGUGGAUGGUGAUAAUCAUAAAUCACCCCAAGCAGCUUGGACACACAGAAAGAUGGAAGAAAGAGUCUUAAUUUUGUUUGGGAUGGACAAAACAUGUUCAAACUUUAAAAGUCAUCAUGUUAAAAGAUAUAUGUGCUGAAGUCUCAUUCCACCCAAACAGUCUACACUACUCCUGAAAAGUGAUUAUCAAUCUGUUGCAAUCUGAAGUUACCCAGGAGCCUGGCCAUGCCUGUGAGGAAUAAUCUUGUUCAGCUUAAUGAAAGUGGGAAUACCUACCUUAACAGUGGCUGAGCUAAUGGAUCGUCAUUGAGAGCUACAAUCUAGAAUGUAUUCAUUCAAAUUCUACAGUAGGCCAGCAAGGUCAAUACCACCCUGUAUCAUCCAUGUGCUUUGAAAAGCAACAGGCUAAUCUUCAAAUCUACUUUAUGUUUGCUACUGGUAAACCCUGUUAAAGAUGAUGAAACAGAGCUUGAGACAAGUGACUCAUGUGAGGCAAGAGAAAAGUCUAAUAGUGCCAUACAUAACAUAUCGACAACCUGAGAGAUUUCUUUGGCUACAUCAAAGGAAAAGCAAGAAGGCAUCCUUGAAAAAAGACCCAGUCAUAGGGUCUAGGUUAUAUCCUGAAUUGAAGGGCAACAGGUUUCAAUCACAGUGUACAAUCCUUUGGGUGAAAGAAGCUAGCCAUCAACUGUAUUAGAUGCAUCACAGUUUUGUGUUUGUGUGUGUGUGUGUGUGUGUGUGUGUGUGUGUGUGCAUACUAUGUACUAUAAAGACCAAGGGAGAAUAUUGUUUGAACUUAUCCCUGAUCACCUUAUUCCACUGAGAGAGAACCUGAUCCUCACUGAAUCUGGAAGUAAUGUGGCAGCCAUCAAGCUCCUGUGAGCUUGUCUCCAGCUCUCAGAGCACCAGAGUUACAUGUUUUUAUUUGAAUGCUAGUGAAUUGAUCUCAGGUUCUCAUGCUUCAUAGAUUACACCAGCUGAGCCAUGGCUCCAGCCCAUGUAUGCAUGCUUUACUUGAGUUACAUAUUCAAAUAUUUAGUAGAUGUGGAGGCUUAUGUAUAUUAGUAAACUCAUGAUAUAAAUUCUGACAAAGAAGACAUACUUGUCCUUAGGAUAUUGACCUCUUAAUACACAGUGAGCUGUAAGAAUAGUAACCACUAUAGGAUGCAUAGUUACGCUUGAUUUUGCUGAACACCACUACCUGUACUUUACUCACCUCAUUGUGCUCCUGUGACAUUUUAAGCCACCUUUCAUUUCUCUUAUUCUGCCUUAUUUUUGGUUCCAGGCCUUUGCCUUUAUGAUCCCUCUACUCCUUUAUCUUUUCCUAUAGCCAGACAGCCUAGUCUCUUCUUUCUUUUCCACACUUUCUGCUGCAUGAUGAACUAUAGCAAGAGACUCUACCUGCAGGCAGCAAUGGGCACCUCUCUGGACCCUGCAGCAUCUGCGCAUGCAUCUCUCAAUGACAUUACCUUUCGCUUACUACCAAUGCUAUCUUCUGAUAGUUCCGGCUUGCAGAGUCAGCUCCAUUCUAAGUGUUAAUUAUUUCAUAGUGUGUUUUCUGUUUCUCUCCCCCUCUCCUUCAGCUUCUGUCUACCCUCCCUACCCCUCCUUCUAUACCUCAUCUUUCUUUUCUCAAAAGCUAUGAAAGUUUGGAUUUGAAUUUUUAAGAAGAGGCUAUAAAACCCAACAAUGGAUGUUUCAGGGACUUCUUAAUAGAGAGCUGGAGCCCAACAAAAAAGGUUUCUUAACAGGAUUCUUCACCUUAUAACUAACACUUUGUUUUACAAAGAUAGUACACUGAGGAAAAACACUCUGUUCGGUUGAGAACAGGAAGCAUCACCAGCUCUUGACAGAAAUGGUACCAUUAGGAAAUGGGUAAAAACAAUCAAAAGAGAAAUUAUCUUGUUCAAGAUUUUGAGAUGUUCAGAACUGAGGUGCUGUUCCUACCAUCAACAGUUCUCAUCAGGGCCAUGAUGACUUGACACAUCUGAAGGGUGGAGAAGGAAGGUGGCUGAGGGUAAGGACUGCAACUAUGGGGAAUCUUCUAGAAGAAAAGUUUCUUGAUGGAUCUUAAGCCUAUGAUUAAUUACAGAACAGCAGUUACAUGAGUCAUAGCUCAUUAGUCACACGGAAACUCCAUCUACAUCCAGUGGAAAAAAAAAUGAGAUACAGAGACUGAAUCCAGGGCUUUGUGCAUGCAAAAUACAAGCUCUGAGCCAUGACCUCAGCUCUCUAGGCCUUUGCAAGAGAGCAUUUUUUGGACUAGAGUUGGAUCAUAAAUUCAAAGACUUGUAUACAACUCUGGUUCAAUUUCCAGCACUCUCUUGGAAAGUCUAGAUCCUUAGGAUCAAAUGUCCUCUUCUGGCUUCUGUGAGCCCUGGAUAUGUAAGUGAAGUCAAGUACAUGGGAAGCUGCCAGUGAAACACGUCCACAUCUAUCUUUUAAGUUAAACCAUGCUUGUCCUGAGAUAUAAGACAUUGUAGAAAAUGAUGUUAUUUAGGCUGUGCCUUGGCCUGAGAGAUUCUAUUUUAUAAGCAGCAUUUGACUCCACUUUGAGGGAAAAUGCAAAAGGCUUACUCUGUACUUUGAUGGGCACAUAAAGAGCACUCCAACGCCACAGACUGAUGAAGGAGUUAUUACCUUGACAUCCAUUAUUUGCAUUUUGCUAUUUUCUUAAGUUGGGCAUUGCUAUCUGGUCUUGUUUGGCCCUCUGGAGCACAGUGGUCUUACCUCAGCAUCCUGAAAACUGAAGUUACAGGCACAGUUCCUAAAUGCAGCAAAAGUCAAGAAAUAUUGGCUGUCAUCAUCAUGACCACCAUCAGUAGCAGCAGCGGCAGCAGUAGUGUCUGGCUGGAUAGUCCAUCAUUUUGUUCAAUUGUAAUCAUAUCAAGUACAUUAAUUAUUGUCUGUUCAACAAACUUAGAUCAACCCAAAUACUCAUUACCCCCCUGUUCUUGCCAUUUUCCA